rnacentral:rRNA from 1 species
AACGAACGUUGGCGGCGUGGAUUAGGCAUGCAAGUCGAACGAAUGUCAGCUUGGUAGCAAUACUGAGUUGGCGGAAGUGGCGAAAGGGGCAGUAAGGCGUGGGUAACCUACCCUGGGGAUGGGCAUAGCCGUUCUAACGGACGGGUAAUUCCCAGCGAUCUGGCCGAGGGGCAUCUCCUGGCCAGGAAAUGAAUUUCGCCUCGGGAGGGCUCACGUAGUAUUAGCUAGUUGGUGAGGUAACGGCUCACCAAGGCGAAGAUGCUUAGCGGGUGUGAGAGCACGACCCGCGCCACUGGCACUGAGACACUGGCCAGACCUCCUACGGGAGGCUGCAGUCGAGGAUCUUCGGCAAUGGGCGCAAGCCUGACCGAGCGACGCCGCGUGUGCGAUGAA